UUUUUUUUUUUUUUUUUUUUAAAGGGCUGUGCCUGAGGCACAUAGAAGCUCCUGGGCUUGGGGUUAAAUCAGAUCCACAGCUGGGGUCUACAUCAGAGCCACAGCAACCCUGGAUCUGAGCCGCAUCUGUGAACUACGAGGCAGCUUGCAGCAACGACAGAUCCCCAACCCACUGAGUGAGGUCAGGGAUCGAACCCACAUCCUCAUGGACAAUAUGCUGGGUUCUUAACCUGCUGGGCCACAAUGGGAAUUCCACCUCCUGAAUCUUGAAUUUGCCCAUAAAUCCCUUGAACAGAAUGUUUGGGAAGUAGAACUUUUCAUUCACACCUUGUGUAAUCUUCACCUUAUGAAAUGCAUGUCAUCAUCCUGGUUUUGCAAAUGAGGAACUCCAGGCUUAGGUCAAGCAAGGACUUCCAGGUACUCCCAGGAGCAAGUACCAGCUGGUAAUGGGCAAAGCUGAGAAUAGAACCUGAGUCUGUCUAGCUCUGACUCAUGAGCUCUUGCCAGCCCAGGAGCCUCUGCUUAGUUCACCUUGGAUAAUUUCGGACUCAUUUGUCUCCUGGCUUCUUACAAGUUUUGUUUUUUCUUCGGAAUUUCUAGAUCAUUAAAAAUGUUCUUCCAGGGAAUUCUUGUAUGGUUCUGGGGGUUAAGGAUCCAGCAUUGUUACUCCAGAGGCUCAGGUUGCUAGUGUGGUACAGGUUUGAUCCCUGGCCCAGGAACAGCAGGUAUAUGGCAGAUACAGAAAAAAAAAAAAAAAAAAAAAAAAAAAAAAGAGUCCUCCUGGAAUCAUCAUGGAAAAACUCUCCUCCAGGAUCACCUCCUCCAAUAUCCAAUCCAGGUCUUUAUUAUUUUUUUAAAUUUUUUAAAAUUUAUUUAUUUAUUUUUCUGCUGUACAGCAUGGGGGCCAAGAUAUACUUACACGUAUACAUUUUUUUUCCCACACUUCGUUCUGUUACAAUAUAAAUAUCUAGACAUACUUCUCAAUGCUACUCAGCAGGAUCUCAUUGUAAAUUGAUUCCAAGUUGUUUUUUUUUUUUUUUCCAUUAUAGCUGCUUUACAGUGUUCUGUCAAUUUUCUACUGUACAGCAAGGUGACCCAGUCACACAUACACAUAUACAUUCUUUUUCCUUACAUUAUCAUGCUCCAUAAUAAGUGACUAGAUAAAGUUCCCAGCACUAUACAGCAGGAUCUCAUUGCUUAUCCAUUCCAAAGGAGGUCUUUAUUUUGUAACCGGGGUUUCUGGGGUUUCUUCUCUAACAGUUGCCUGAUACCAUCGCAUUGCAUUUAGCUCCAUGCAAUUUAAUUGCAUUUAUUUUCUCUGGUCUCAGGUUGAUGAGAUGGACAGCUAAAUCCUCUCUAGUUGUGAAGAUGCUGGGUUUUGUUUUUGUUUUUGUUUUUUGGCUGCACUUGCCUCUUAGGAAAUUUCCUGGGUUAGGGAUCAAAUCCGAGUCAUGGCUGCAACCUACGCCACAGCUGCGGCAGUGCAGGAUCCUUACUUGACCCCCUGUGCCACAGCAGGAACUCCAUGAAGAUGCUGUUUUUACCCCUUCUAUUAAUCCCCACCUAACACACACAGACAGAAGGGAAUGAAGACAGAGGUGAGAAUUUCUCUUCCCAGAGGCAGUUAUGCUACUCAGGGGAUUGUAAAGCAGGAAAUAAACAAUCCCAAGCCUGGCACAGACAUGAAAUCUGGCCCCCUUCAUCCUCUGCUCUCAGGAAACCAGGAGCCAGCUGUGAAGUCCUGACCGUUCCAGCUGUGUAGAGACUGCUGCAAAGCAUAUUGAAAUCUUUCUGUUCCUCUCUUCCUCCUCCAGUUCAUCCCUCCUCCUGCAGCAAGUCACCUGCCACUUUUCCUUUUCCCUUGAGUCAUCUCCUCCAUCCCAUGGUUGUCACCCCCACCUCCUGGUCUUCCUUAAACCCCCUCCCUUCUGUUCCUUCCUUUUGGUCCAUGGACCCCUCUCUUCCUCUCUUUCCUUCCUCCUGCCCAAACUUUACUAGCAAAAUCAAACAAAAUAACAAAAGAAUGGAGGAUAAGUAAACAGCUGCCUGCCCUCACGUAGAAAUCUCUGGAAGCGGCUUCCUUCGCCUCCAUUGAUAGAGUGUCUCUGCCUUUCAAAGCAUUUGGCCCUUGUUCAAGGCCAGUCCCAGUGGCCAUGGAGUCAUUGUGUCGAGAUGAAGGUGAAUCUAGGCAGUUUCUAUAUUUGGAUGCAAUUGUGUUUCUGGAAAAGGCUGCACCUCACAUAAUAGGAAAUCCUGAGAGUGUGAAGAGUGUUUCCUGCCAGUUGAAGCAUUGUUGUCUUUGGCUGUUCUGACAAUAGCAGAAACCUUCGAGGAAGUGGGCAAAAGUGGAGGGGGGUGGGGAGAAGGAACCAGGCUGCCCUGGGUGGGUGAGAAGCAGUGAAGUGUGGAUUUGGGGAAAGUGGGGAUUUCUGGGGAAGGUGAUUUAAAGCUAUAAGUGAAAGCAAUAAGUUACAGAACCCUGUCAGAGGAUGGAAAAAACACCCUGAUUACUUUGUAAGAUUAUCUGUGGAAAGGAAGUCAGCUAGGGCAAGGCAUUGACUGCUCAGUAUGUGUGUCUAUAAAAAUGGUCCGUGAUUAAGUGGACAUGUAAGGGACACACAGCUCGAUGAUGAUGAUGAUGAUGAU
rnacentral:lncRNA from 1 species